rnacentral:rRNA from 1 species
CGAAGGGGGCUAGCGUUGUUCGGAAUUACUGGGCGUAAAGCGCAUGUAGGCGGCGAUUCAAGUCGGGGGUGAAGUCCUGAGGCUCAACCUCAGAACUGCCUUCGAUACUGUAUUGCUGGAGUAUGGAAGAGGUAGGUGGAACUGCGAGUGUAGAGGUGAAAUUCGUAGAUAUUCGCAAGAACACCAGUGGCGAAGGCGGCCUACUGGUCCAUCACUGACGCUGAGAUGCGAAAGCGUGGGGAGCAAACAGGAUUAGAUACCCUGGUAGUCCACGCCGUAAACGAUGAGAGCUAGCUGUUGGGAAGUUUACUUUUCAGUAGCGCAGAUAACUCAAUAAGCUCUCCGCCUGGGGAGUACGGUCGCAAGAUUA